AGAGUUUGAUCAUGGCUCAGGACGAACGCUGGCGGCGUGCUUAACACAUGCAAGUCGAACGAUGAAGCCCUUCGGGGUGGAUUAGUGGCGAACGGGUGAGUAACACGUGGGUAUCUGCCCUGUACUUUGGGAUAAGCCCUGGAAACGGGGUCUAAUACCGAAUAUGACUGCGCAUCGCAUGGUGUGUGGUGGAAAGUUUCGGCGGUACAGGAUGAGCCCGCGGCCUAUCAGCUUGUUGGUGGGGUGAUGGCCUACCAAGGCGACGACGGGUAGCCGGCCUGAGAGGGCGACCGGCCACACUGGGACUGAGACACGGCCCAGACUCCUACGGGAGGCAGCAGUGGGGAAUAUUGCACAAUGGGCGAAAGCCUGAUGCAGCGACGCCGCGUGAGGGAUGACGGCCUUCGGGUUGUAAACCUCUUUCGACAGGGACGAAGGGCAACUGACGGUACCUGUAGAAGAAGCACCGGCUAACUACGUGCCAGCAGCCGCGGUAAUACGUAGGGUGCGAGCGUUGUCCGGAAUUAUUGGGCGUAAAGAGCUCGUAGGCGGUUUGUCGCGUCGGCUGUGAAAACUGGAGGCUUAACCUUCAGCUUGCAGUCGAUACGGGCAGACUUGAGUUCGGUAGGGGAGACUGGAAUUCCUGGUGUAGCGGUGAAAUGCGCAGAUAUCAGGAGGAACACCGGUGGCGAAGGCGGGUCUCUGGGCCGAUACUGACGCUGAGGAGCGAAAGCGUGGGGAGCGAACAGGAUUAGAUACCCUAGUAGUCC
rnacentral:rRNA from 1 species